rnacentral:lncRNA from 1 species
GUUUCCCGCUCCCGCCCACCACACCGGAAGUGACGUUUGUAUAUUAGCCGGUACAAGGUGAAGAAGGAAAUUUGCGGCGCCUUGCGUUCCACCCAAUCAGCUUUCCACCGUGACCCGGCCAGCAGGAACCCAUUUAUCCCCGCCCCUUCGUGGCCGGGCCGUAUUUGCGCGCUAACCCAAAAUGGUUACCGUCAACCUGCUUUGGUGUAAGGUCUUAGUCCUGGUGUGUCCCGGAAAAUCUGCUUCUAGCCCAGAGUCGCUGGGUGAUCUUACGCUUCUCCUAUAUGUCUUCUCGCAGACUUGGUUUCCCAUUUGAACAUAUUCGUUAU